CAUAGCACAGUUGGUAGUGCAUCCCCUUGGUAAGGGGAAGGUCGCCGGUUCGAGCCCGGUUGGU
rnacentral:tRNA from 1 species